UGCGGCAAUUGUUUAUUAGUUUGGCUCAUUGUGGAUGGCAUUCGGUUCACCACGAUAGACGAGCUCAAAAAAAUACUUUCCACUGAGUCGUAUACCCGCGGACCGGCAAUCGAAAGUCUAGGGAAAAACUCAUAACCAAGAAACGUAGGUCAGUGUGAAGUCAGUUCAGCCAAGUUAUCUGAACGAUUUAAAACUUGCAGAACAGUUUUCAAAUUAAUAGCAAAUUGGUUUAUGUAAUUUGCAAACCAUGUGAAAACCCUCCGGCUAUGUGCACGAACCAAUUGCAUGUUUUGACUGGAGAGUGUAAAGAACCGAAAAAUAAGAAAACUCUGUCUCUUGACGAUCUGAUCCAUUUCAGAAUAAUAAUUAACAGUGGAUUUAGGUCGAUAAUAUACGAUUGUAUAGAAAUG